rnacentral:lncRNA from 1 species
GUUCACAUUUUUAAGCCCACUCUUUUCUCUUCUGCUGUGCUUUGUCAUCCACUGCAGGAGGAGUCAGCGCCUCCCGGCCUCCAGCAGGCACCUCUGUCCUUCCUGAUGAAGAUAUCGUUAAAAUAGCUGUCUUUUUAUGAAGCUCCUCUCUCACCUGUUUGCAGAUUGGAAGACCUGGCAACAGCCUUGCACACCUGGCCACUUUUAAGGUCCUGCCGCACUGUCUCCUGGAAGCCCUGGAUUCGAUGGAAUAACUCCCUGGACUAAAGAACUCAGGGGUGACCCUGUGGGCAUACAGUGGUCAGGAUCCCACAUCAGGAACCUGGUUCUUAUCUCCCAUUAUUCUGAGGGUAAUGUUGAUAUGUGGAGUAUUUGGGUUCACUCCAGACACAGAACUCUGGUCACUCCCACAGGACACAGCUGGAGAGUAGUUGGCUUAUCUCCUUAGCAGGGAAGAGAGGAAUUUGCUGGCUAGCCUGACUGCACAUCUGUCUGGCUUGAUGCCUUGCUAGACUCUAUGAUGUUUACUCAGUCACUUGACAUGAAAUUGUCAGCCAUGUUUGCACGAAACACAGAUUCCCUAGACAUGACAGGAUCCCUAUGUGCCUUGCCUGGGUAGUGUCCUGGUCCUGACCCUGCCCUAUCGGAAAGUCUCAAGGGACAUGGAAAGUUUUUUGCCUGAAACAGAAAGAU